AGCGACUUGAGCGGUUGUGCGUUGU
rnacentral:miRNA from 1 species